rnacentral:rRNA from 1 species
UACGAAGGGGGAGCUAGCGUUGCUCGGAAUUACUGGGCGUAAAGCGCACGUAGGCGGAUUGUUAAGUCGGGGGUGAAAUCCUGGAGCUCAACUCCAGAACUGCCUUCGAUACUGGCGAUCUCGAGUUCGGGAGAGGUGAGUGGAACUGCGAGUGUAGAGGUGAAAUUCGUAGAUAUUCGCAAGAACACCAGUGGCGAAGGCGGCUCACUGGCCCGAUACUAACGCUGAGGUGCGAAAGCGUGGGGAGCAAACAGAUG